CCGCCCCGUCGUGUCUCCUGGCUGAUCUCCCCCUCAACCCUUCCUCUGGGAUCAGCUCGAGUAGAGAACUUUCUAGCAGCAUGUCCAGACCCCAGGACACAGAGUCUAAGGAGCGGGACUCGGAACCCACGAUCGCAAGGCUGCUGUGGAAACCGGCUGGCGGUGCAGGAAUGGGCGCAGGUUUGCAACUUUUCUGGCGCAGCGAGGAGACCUAGAAGGCCGUAGAAGGCUCACAUAGCAGGGCAACAGAGACAGGUCUUUGUCCUGCUGAACUCGUUUUUCUUGGAAAAACGCAACUGUGAAAAACACAUGAAUAUGAGAAGGAGCUUGCAGAGAGAAGUUCCCAGGAGUGGGAGGAAAGCAGUGGAGGUGACUGUGAAGCUGGGAAGCUUAGAAGCCACUGGCAAGCAUCUCUGUGUCCACCCGAAGUCUGACAGUCAAUCGUGAUUGUCCAUUAGACAGGACAUAGUGUCACCAUGGAAACUCACCUCUGAGCUUGUGUAUGAGUGGUUCCAAAAGAUCUAACAGAGGAGGGUCACCUGACCCAGCAUGUGGGUAGCACCAUCCUACUGGCUGGAGUCCCAGACUGAACAACAAGCGAGGGUAGCCAGUACCAGCUUUCAGUCUCUCAACUUCCUGUCUGGGUGUGCAAUGUGACCAGAUGCCUCAUGCUCCUGCCUCAAUGCCUUCCCUACCAUGACAGACCAUGCUCUUAUGCUGCGAACCAAAAUAAACUCUUCCUUAGUUGCUUGCCUUUGUCAGGUAUCAUGUUACAGCAAGGAGAGAAGCAGCCAACACCCAGGAGGACAGAAUGAGAAAACAUGAGCAAUCGGGAAAGUCCCCUUCCAUCUGGUACCAAGCAGAACAGACCUUCAUUACAGGAAUUCACUACGAGAAAGGUUGAUUUUAUCCACUCAUGGUCAAUCUAUGGCUUUGGUUUUGCCCUGGGAUUGUUUAUGGGAAUUCUUAGAGAGAUAAAGUCACCAGUGGUGGUCAGGAAUGAGAGGAGGGUGUCCUUG